UUGGUGCCGGGCAGGCGUGCGGGAAUAAGCGCUGUCCGCCGCGCUCUGCGCAGCCGCCGUGGCAGAGGGCGAACUUUGCGCGGCGCUAGCGGCCCCAUGGGGCUUCGCUUGCCAAGGCACAGGUCAGGGACACCGCCAAGCCCCAGGGGUGGCGAGGACACCCUGCAGCGCCCAUCUCUAGCGCCCUGCGAAGAUCUGCCAGGCGCAGUCUCCUGCCUCGCAGCGAAGUCGUACCCACCGCGAGCGGGGAGCGGCCGGGCUGGGACAUGGCAGCGAGUGAAUAAACGAAAAAACAAACAAAAACCUGCCGGGACCUGCGCCUGCUUCACACGGGGCCGAUGCGGUGUGUUGCACCGCUGCCAGGGACUGCGCUGUCGCACCGCCCUGUCACCUCAGGGUACCUUGGUCACGGCUUCGAGUCACGCUCUACCAAGUGCAACACCAAAAAGAAGUGUGAAAGCUUAGUCUUGUCUCUGCUUCCCUGGCAAUGCCUGAGCGGUACCAGGCGCUGUGCGGAUGGGCACAGGUCUCAGCCAUUUGGGCAGGGUCUGGGGAAGCCUGAGGAACUGGCAGACCUGGAGUUUACCACGUUUCAUGAAGAAAUCGCUUUGUCUCCUUGCAAAGUUAAAUAUGAGAGCUGGUUUUCAAAACCUUCAUACCUCACUGUGCUUGCUUCCCAGUUGCUCUCAGUAGUUUGCAUGAAUAAGUGGCCUGCUGCACUUAAACAAAGCCCCCCAAACACACACUCAUCUUUUCCCUUUGUAUGUCAAGAAACAGCAUAAUGAUAGUAAUUUCAACAACUUCAGUACAAGCAGCUGUACACCCAGUAGCAGUCCCCAACUGGAAGUAAUUGACACAGCUUGUGCCAACUUGAAACAUGGAAGGAUCUGCUUCCUUGUGCUUGCAGAAAGAGGUGAAGCCUAGAGAAGUAGAAUUGUAGGAAGGCAAAUACACAAAAUUAAUUCAUAAUGCCUUCCCCCACCCCUCCCCAAAUUCCAUUGAGCUGUAAGGUCUUUGAUAGCUUCAAAAACACUGAAAUAGCUUUCUAUCAGGAUUUUUUUCACAAAAAACUAUUACAACAUAAAGGCAUCAAUUUUUACUGUCCAUACUGUUCUGUGCUAUUGAUGCUGAAGUGUUCUGCUGAACUGAACUAAUUAGGAUUAAUAUCCUGACCCAUGAUAAUUAUGAAAAAAGGCACAAAAUAAAAUUAAUUCCUAUUUUUUAUGAGAGUAAAAGGACCACAUAAUGAGGGACAAGCAAACAUAUUUUCAUAUUUCUAACAAAGGUAGCCUACAGCUGGUGCCUACAGUCAGUAACUAAUUCAUAGAUCCACAAGGCAGCCAAAGAUGUAGCCACAGCUGGGAAAAGCAUGUCUAAAUUGGCUUUCAACUUUCUACCAGGGAUUGAUGCUAACUGGGUGUAACAGUGUUGCAGGUCAUGAGGCAGUGCAUGUGAAUCCUGAAAUCAUUUGUUGGCAAAAUUAUAAACCAGGGUAGUGGAACAGUAAGAAAACAGGAUAAAGACAGACUGUCUUCCAGUACAACAAGAUUUCUCAUGUAUACAA